UCCUUUAAAAAUUCUACCCUGAACAAGCCCAAUCCCAUCUGAUCUCAAAAGCUAAGCAGGGUUGGGCCUGGUUAGUACUUGGAUGGGAGACCACCUAGGAAAACCAGGUGCUGAAGGCG
rnacentral:rRNA from 1 species